AUUGAACGCUGGCGGCAGGCCUCACACAUGCAAGUCGAACGAGUGGCGGACGGGUGAGUAAUGUCUGGGAAACUGCCCGAGAGAGGGGGAUAACUACUGGAAACGGUAGCUCAUACCGCAUACCAUCGGAUGUGCCCACAUGGGAUUAGCUAGUAGGUGGGGUAACGGCUCACCUAGGAGACGCUCCGUAGCUGGUGUGAGAGGACGACCAGCCACACUGGGACUGAGACAAGGCCCAGACUCCGACGGGAGGCAGCAGUGGGGAAUCUUGGACAAUGGGGGAAACCCUGAUCCAGCCAUCCCGCGUGUGUGAGGAAGGCCUUCGGGUUGUAAAGCACUUUUGGCAGGAAAGCGGUACCUGCAGAAGAAGCACCGGCUAACUACGUGCCAGCAGCCGCGGUAAUAC
rnacentral:rRNA from 1 species